rnacentral:tRNA from 4 species
GUGAGGUUAGCUUAAUGGUAAAGCGAUAGACUGUGGACCUAUUAAUAUGGGUUCAAUUCCCAUACCUCACACCA